AGAGUUUGAUCCUGGCUCAGGAUGAACGCUAGCGGCAGGCCUAAUACAUGCAAGUCGUACGGGAUCCGGCCUUUCGGGGCCGGUGAGAGUGGCGGACGGGUGCGUAACGCGUAUGCAACCCACCCCCGACUGGCGGACAGCCGGUGGAAACGCCGGGUGACCCGCCAUGCGCACCUUUUGGGGCAUCCUGGUAGGUGUAAAGCGGCGACGCGGUCGGGGACGGGCAUGCGUCCCAUUAGAUUGUUGGCGGGGUGACGGCCCACCAAGUCUUCGAUGGGUAGGGGAUCUGAGAGGACGGUCCCCCACACUGGCACUGAGACACGGGCCAGACUCCUGCGGGAGGCAGCAGUAGGGGAUAUUGGGCAGUGGGCGGAAGCCUGACCCAGCCAUGCCGCGUGAGGGAUUGAGGCCCUACGGGUCGUGAACCUCUUUUGUGCGGGGACAACGGCGGGCACGUGAUGCCUGCGUGAGGGUACCGCACGAAUAAGCAUCGGCUAACUCCGUGCCAGCAGCCGCGGUAAUACGGAGGAUGCGAGCGUUAUCCGGAUUCAUUGGGUUUAAAGGGUGCGCAGGGCGGCCUGUUAAGUCAGCGGUGAAAUCCCGGGGCCCAACCCCGGAAGUGCCGUUGAUACUGACGGGCUGGAAUGCGGUCUGGGCGGGCGGAACGUGGCGUGUAGCGGUGAAAUGCGUAGAUAUGCCACAGAACGCCGAUAGCGGAGGCAGCUCGCCGGGCCUGCAUUGACGCUCAGGCACGAAAGCGUGGGGAUCGAACAGGAUUAGAUACCCUGGUAGUCCACGCCGUAAACGAUGGGCGCUCGUCGUCGGCGACAGAUGGUCGGCGGCCAAGCGAAAGCGAUAAGCGCCCCACCUGGGGAGUACGGUCGCAAGGCUGAAACUCAAAGGAAUUGACGGGGGCCCGCACAAGCGGUGGAGCAUGUGGUUUAAUUCGAUUAUACGCGAGGAACCUUACCCGGGCUUGAACUCAGGGGGGAGGACCGGGAGACCGGAACGUCAGCAAUGACUCCCUGAGAGGUGCUGCAUGGUUGUCGUCAGCUCGUGCCGUGAGGUGUCGGGUCAAGUCCCAUAACGAGCGCAACCCCUGCGUCCAGUUGCCAUCGGUUCGGCCGGGCACUCUGGACGGACUGCCCGCGCAAGCGGAGAGGAAGGCGGGGAUGACGUCAAAUCAGCACGGCCCUUACGUCCGGGGCGACACACGUGCUACAAUGGCCGCCACAGAGGGAAGCCACCUGGCGACAGGGCGCGGAUCCCGAAAGGCGGUCACAGUCCGGAUCGGGGGCUGCAACCCGCCCCCGUGAAGCUGGAAUCGCUAGUAAUCGCGCAUCAGCCAUGGCGCGGUGAAUACGUUCCCGGGCCUUGUACACACCGCCCGUCAAGCCAUGGGAGCCUCGGGCGCCUGAAGUCGGGGAUGACCCGCCUAGGGCGAACGCGGUGACUGGGGCUAAGUCGUAACAAGGUAGCCGUA
rnacentral:rRNA from 1 species